rnacentral:rRNA from 1 species
GGUUAAGCGACUAAGCGUACACGGUGGAUGCCCUGGCAGUCAGAGGCGAUGAAGGACGUGCUAAUCUGCGAUAAGCGUCGGUAAGGUGAUAUGAACCGUUAUAACCGGCGAUUUCCGAAUGGGGAAACCCAGUGUGAUUCGUCACACUAUCAUUAACUGAAUCCAUAGGUUAAUGAGGCGAACCGGGGGAACUGAAACAUCUAAGUACCCCGAGGAAAAGAAAUCAACCGAGAUUCCCCCAGUAGCGGCGAGCGAACGGGGAGCAGCCCAGAGCCUGAAUCAGUGUGUGUGUUAGUGGAAGCGUCUGGAAAGGCGCGCGAUACAGGGUGACAGCCCCGUACACAAAAAUGCACAUGCUGUG